rnacentral:tRNA from 1 species
UAUCCAGGAAUCGAACCCACAGUGUUCUGCUUAACGGGCAGAUGCCAUGUCCACUAGGCUACCCUGGAC